GCCACCCUAGCUCAGUUGGUAGAGCAGCGGUUUCGUAAACCGCAGGUCGUCGGUUCAAUUCCGACGGGUGGCUCCA
rnacentral:tRNA from 1 species